rnacentral:rRNA from 1 species
AGAGUUUGAUCCUGGCUCAGGAUGAACGCUGGCGGCGUGCUUAAUACAUGCAAGUCGAACGAGAACCGGGAGCUUGCUCCCGGGGGCAGUGGCGAAUGGGUGCGUAACACGUAGGCGACCUGCCCUGAAACGGGGGACAACGGUUCGAAAGGACCGCUAAUACCGUAUGUGGUCACGGGGUCACAGCUGUGACUAAACUCGCGCAAGCGGGGUUUCAGGAGGGGCCUGCGGCCCAUCAGCUAGUUGGUAGGGUAACGGCCUACCAAGGCGACGACGGGUAGGGGGCCUGAGAGGGUGGCCCCCCACACUGGCACUGACACACGGGCCAGACUCCUACGGGAGGCAGCAGUAAGGAAUAUUGCACAAUGGGCGCAAGCCUGAUGCAGCAACGCCGCGUGAGCGAUGAAGGCCUUCGGGUCGUAAAGCUCUUUUCCCAGGGAAGAGGAAGGACGGUACCUGGGGAAUAAGUCACGGCUAACUACGUGCCAGCAGCCGCGGUAAAACGUAGGUGGCAAGCGUUAUCCGGAUUCACUGGGCGUAAAGCGCACGCAGGCGGCCUGGAAAGUAGGGCAUGAAAUCUCCCGGCUUAACUGGGAGGGGUUGUCCUAUACUGCCGGGCUUGAGGAUGGGAGAGGGAAGCGGAACUGCCGGUGUAGUGGUGAAAUGCGUAGAGAUCGGCAAGAACACCAGUGGCGAAGGCGGCUUUCUGGCCCAUUCCUGACGCUCAGGUGCGAAAGCUAGGGGAGUGAACGGGAUUAGAAACCCCGGUAAUCCUAGCCGUAAACGAUGUACACUAGGUGUCGGGGGUAUUGAUCCCCUCGGUGCCUAAGCUAACGCGUUAAGUGUACCGCCUGGGGACUACGGCCGCAAGGUUAAAACUCAAAGGAAUUGACGGGGGCCCGCACAAGCAGCGGAGCGUGUGGUUUAAUUCGAUGAUACACGAAGAACCUUACCAGGGUUUGACAUGUGCGUGGUAGUGAAGCGAAAGUGGAACGACCCUAACCGGAGCGCACACAGGUGCUGCAUGGCUGUCGUCAGCUCGUGCCGUGAGGUGUUAGGUUAAGUCCUAUAACGAGCGCAGCCCCUGCUGCCAGUUACAAGUGUCUGGCGGGACUGCCGGUCAUAAGCCGGAGGAAGGUGGGGACGACGUCAAGUCAGCAUGGCCUUUAUAUCCUGGGCUACACACACGCUACAAUGGCCGGUACAAUGGGCCGCAAAGCCGCGAGGCGGAGCCAAUCCCAGCAAAGCCGGUCUCAGUUCGGAUUGUAGGCUGCAACCCGCCUGCAUGAAGUUGGAGUUGCUAGUAAACGCGCGUCAGCCAUAGUGCGUUGAAUACGUUCCCGGGCCUUGUACACACCGCCCGUCACGUCAUGGGAGCUGACAACACCUGAAGCCGGUGGGCCAACCGCAAGGGGGCAGCCGUCGAAGGUGGGGUUGGUGACUGGGACGAAGUCGUAACAAGGUA